CAUAUAACAAUCUGUAGUAUUGACAGAGACAGGCAUAUGCUGCGAUCUCCAAACAAACACUUCAAUAAUUCUGGAUCUCUCUGUAUUUAUCAACGCAUUUUUAAUAUGCAUAGUGAGCAUAGUGAAUAAAUAGAGCUCUGUGUGGCCCUCACAAUGCCGGUAAAGUUUGUUAUAAAAAAGUUUCUAUGAAUACGUUGCAAGUUUACAUCUUCCAACAUUUGAUGCCCACCUAACAGAAUUAACUGAUGAGCAAGCUAAGUAUAUGGGUUUGAACAAAGCUGGACCUUUCAAACCUAACUAUUAUCGGUAUUAAUUACUACAAGUAUUAAUAUAGUAAGUGUUCUAGCAUCAGUUUUAGAAGCCAUUGUAAAAGUACUUUGAAGCUCCACCAACCAUUUCAUCUUGCCGCUAAAAGUCUUUGUUCGUAAUAUAUUAUAUAGCAACACCGCACACACCUUAUGGAAAUUAGUCUUUCAGUAAAAUUCCUGAAAAAUA